rnacentral:rRNA from 1 species
GAUGAACGCUGGCGGCGUGCUUAACACAUGCAAGUCGAACGAAGCACCUCUCCCGAAGAUUGACACAGCUUGCUGUAGAUUGAUUCAUUUGAGGUGACUGAGUGGCGGACGGGUGAGUAACGCGUGGGUAACCUGCCUCAUAGAGGGGGGCAACAGUUGGAAACGACUGCUAAUACCGCAUAGUAAGAAGAGUUCGCAUGUUUUCUUCUUGAAAGAUUUAUCGCUAUGAGAUGGACCCGCGUCUGAUUAGCUAGUUGGUAAGGUAACGGCUUACCAAGGCGACGAUCAGUAGCCGGCUUGAGAGAGUGAACGGCCACAUUGGGACUGAGACACGGCCCAAACUCCUACGGGAGGCAGCAGUGGGGAAUAUUGCACAAUGGGGGAAACCCUGAUGCAGCGACGCCGCGUGAGUGAAGAAGUAUUUCGGUAUGUAAAGCUCUAUCAGCAGGGAAGAUAAUGACGGUACCUGACUAAGAAGCCCCGGCUAACUACGUG